rnacentral:rRNA from 2 species
CAGUCGAGCGAGCUUGCCUAUAGAAGUUCUUCGGAAUGGAAAUAGAUACAAGCUAGCGGCGGAUGGGUGAGUAACGCGUGGGUAACCUGCCCUUAAGUCUGGGAUACCAUUUGGAAACAGAUGCUAAUACCGGAUAAAAACUACUUUCGCAUGAAAGAAGUUUAAAAGGCGGCGUAAGCUGUCGCUAAAGGAUGGACCUGCGAUGCAUUAGCUAGUUGGUAAGGUAACGGCUUACCAAGGCGAUGAUGCAUAGCCGAGUUGAGAGACUGAUCGGCCACAUUGGGACUGAGACACGGCCCAAACUCCUACGGGAGGCAGCAGUAGGGAAUCUUCCACAAUGGACGCAAGUCUGAUGGAGCAACGCCGCGUGAGUGAAGAAGGUUUUCGGAUCGUAAAGCUCUGUUGUUGGUGAAGAAGGAUAGAGGUAGUAACUGGCCUUUAUUUGACGGUAAUCAACCAGAAAGUCACGGCUAACUACGUGCCAGCAGCCGCGGUAAUACGUAGGUGGCAAGCGUUGUCCGGAUUUAUUGGGCGUAAAGCGAGCGCAGGCGGAUUGAUAAGUCUGAUGUGAAAGCCUUCGGCUCAACCGGAGAACUGCAUCAGAAACUGUCAAUCUU